ensembl:lncRNA
CCGGGUGAAACCACUCCCCUCUGCAUGCAGGGGCCAUGGCCCUGCCGUUGCUUUUGGAUCUGCUUUUGGUGGAUCUGGGCCGCAGGCCUGGCCAAUCAGAGUACUGCAUCCUGCUCGCAGGGAUGGGCUCAGGGAAGGUCACAUGACCCAGCCAGGGCCAAUGAGUUGCAAUCUUGGGACAUUUGCGUGAGAAGCCCUUUCCUCCCACUGAACUCAGGGCCGAGAGGAGGAUGCAGUCAUGGAUGAUGUCAUAUUGUUGAUGUGAUAUUGACCAUGAGGUAAUAUUAGCGGUGGGACAUGGGAGCUGCCUGCAGCCAUUUUGCCACUGGACAGAGAGACCCCACCUGAGAACGGUACCAAUGCAAGCAGAAUGGGACCAAGAGAGGCAGAGAGAACAUCCCUUCCUUUAUUCCUUCUGCAUCUAUUGGUUAAGCCCUACUCUGUGCAGUGCCUGUUCCUGGCCUGGGGAACAGCAGUGACCAAGAUGAAGUCCCCGUCCUCAGGAGUCAUCGACAUUCUAGCAUAAAUGUAAACAGGAGCCAGCAGUCACCCCCUAGACCAAAUCUGAGCUGGACUCUCUGCCACUGGCUCCUCCAGGCCCGAGGCAAUCUAUGUUGUUGGGUGAGCAAAUAGGUAAGUGAAUAAACAGUAACCGGAAGUCUCUAGGAACAUAUGCUACCCCUGGCAAUGCAUCAGCAGCCCAUGUCCCUACGGCCUCAUCAACCCUGAGUAUUAUCUUCAAUCAACUUUCGAGCCUAGAAUACGAAUUACAAGGAGGAAGCAACUGAUCUGAGGAGAGAGAGAAGGGAUGGCUGGCCUCUCUUCCCGCCAUGUCUAGGCACUCAUCCGCACACGGCUGGUCUGCGCUUGCUUUGUUCUCUGCUCUGAGCUGUUGUCUUAUGGUAGGUUGUGACAUUUCCACCUGGAGGUGGCUCGCUUGUUGCUCUGGGGACGUUUUUAUUUUUUUAUUUAAAGAGAAUUUCCGUGGUAGUCUGUGCCACCAAGGGCCGUCGGGAGCCCCUGGCAAUAUGAUUCUGUCUGAAGAACAAAGAGGCAAAUUUGCAGAAGAUCAAAUGCAAAGGCAUCGUGAGAGGAGAGGGCUGGGAGUUAUAGAUGAAAACGGCACCGGUUCCAGCCCGAGAUCUGAGAGCUAUGAAUAAUGGAAGAUCCACACACAGCCUGGGGUGCGCCGCUGUUGGGGGUGUGCAAGGAGAAGGGUCCCCCCCACCUCGCUGAAGAUGUCAGCUUGCCAGGAAGACGCAGGGCCCAGCAGCCGCUCCAGGCAGGGUCGACACAAAUGGAAAGAGCAGCAAAGAGAAAGAGGACUGGGCUAAGGGGCCCGAGAGCUGGAGCGCCCACAGCGGCGGGGAUUCUGUGUCGCUGCUGUGGCUGCGUGCGUUGUGAUGGAGGCUCAGCUAUAGCAAAAAUACCAUCCCAGAUUGCCAAAGUGGGGUCCAGAUGUCCCUGGGGACUUAGGGGAAAUGCAGGGGACAUGAGAGCUCUGCUGCUGGACCUUCACUGGCUGGUGCGCCUUCUCUGCCAGGCUCGGGAAGGUGCCCCUGCAGCCUAGUCUGGGGGUGCGUGCUCUAUGCCCCUUCCCCUGGGCGUCUACCUGUCCUCUGACCUACUCUGUGCCCACAUCAUCCUCAGCUCAUUCCCCUCUGCCUGGCUUCCCUUAACGGCCCAUUGCCCCUCCCAGGUCCCCAAGUCCACCCUCCAGGCUCAGGGCCUCUUCUCCGCACCCCUGCUCUACUCUCCGGCCCUGGCCCCCAUCCUCCACUGUCCUCACACUCCUCCCAGCCUCCCCAUCGUCCCACCUCCCCAGGCCUCGUCCUCCCCUCUGCUCUAGUCUCCUGCCCCUCUUCUGGAGUUCCCAGACCUCUGGGUUGGCUGCUCCAUGUUUCCACAGUUGUCCCGCCUGCUGGGUCCUUGAGAUCAUAGCCCCAGACCCUUCUCUCUGUGCAGGUCUGACUCAUCUGGUCCCCUAUGCAGCACUGUGUCUCUGGGGACAUGGCCUGUCCUUCUGAGAGUGGACUCUCAUCAUUCUUUUUGGCCACCUAGUACCAGCACCUUCUUCCUAACAAGGAAGAGCCUGCCUCCCUCUGUGUAAGCUGAAAUGCCAGACAUUCGCCCUCUAAGCCUUUCUGACCGCUAGGACCCCUAUCAGUCACAUCCCUCCAACUAAUGAGGGUCACAAAGAAGCAGGCACCACCCGGAAUCCGGUAAUCUGUCUACUGAUGGCAGGGGCUGCGCCGGCUGCGGGAGCAGCUUCAUCUGGCUCCCAGAAGCAGGGGGCAGGACCGGGGGCCCAGCUGGGCAGAUUGGGGUGUCAAAGCCAAAGGCACGGGCAGCGAUGUCCUUGUGGUUCCUCUCUGGAUGUUUAGCCUCUAAGCAUGAUGCUAGGACCCCCCCAGCGGGUCUGAGGGGUCCAAAUAUCCUUUAACAAGUGCCCUUUCUGUUUACGUCAGCCAGAAUACCUUUCUAUUGCUUUGAAUUCUGUUCAGUUCUAUUGUAAUGAAAGACCCUGACUUGUCCCUCACUCUUUUUCAAUUUCUGGGUUUUUUCCUUACUCUAAUAUCCCUUUAAAAUACACUUACUAAAAAAAUUAAUUGAUGUACAGCAAAAUAUUAAGUAAAUGAAAAGAUCUUUCAAAUUAUGACCCAAAAAUCCAGAAGCCACAAAAGAUUGGACAAUAUCUAUUAAAGCUGCAAAGGCAUGUGUCCUUUGACCCAAAAAUCCCACUUUGGGGCAUUUAUCCUACCCCUCUCCUGUUCAAUUAAUGUAGCCUGGAGAGUAAAGAUCUUCCCGGUUGGAACAGAGAAGCCUCCUCAUCUCCCCCCUCCUCUGUUUUCUACAGGAGAGUCUCCCAUUGUGCGGACAGGCCACAGCUCCUCGAGCCGGCCCCCUCGUGGGGAACACUUGAGUUGCUCCCCAUCUUUUGCUGUUGUAGUCGGUCAAUACCUCAUCCACGUGCCGGCUCAUAUGCACAAAGUGGAGCAUCCGUGCACUACAUCAAGGGAGAAAUCAAGAUACAGAACCGUCUAUAGGCAUAUGUUAUGUUUUGCACAAGAAGGAGGGAAAAUCAGAAUAUGUCUUCAUCCUUGGUAUACUUCCAUAAAGAUACUCUGGAAGGACAGACAAAAACCUAACAACCUUACCAGCCUCUUGUGGUUGGUGGGGGCUGGGGACCUGGAUGACAGUGCAGAGUGGGAGAGAGACCUCCUCUUUCACCUUCUAGCCUUGUUUUGCUUUUAGAACCACGUGAUUGUAUUACUCGGUUUAAAACAACGACAGCAGAAAGCGUAAACAAGUGCAGCCAUGGUACGUAGAUGUGACCUAAAUCCUGAAGGUGGCAGUUGGUGGCUGAAUUUGGAACUGCUCCCUCCUGUGGUCUUGGGGUGUCUCUUAGGCCCAGAUUCCUCCUUCACCACAGGAGCCAACAGGGCGCUGGGGAGAGAAUGGAGGUGACACUUGCGAAUUCGGACGCCCGCCCCGCGGUGUGCAUGUGAGUGCCAGCAGCUCGCAUGCCUGCCCACACCACCCCCUUUCUCCCCUUGUCCUGGGGCGUUGGUUAGGGGACCUCUUGCUGAAACCAGACACUUUAAAUGCUCCCUCCCUCCUAGGAGAGAAGAGUCCAGAGGGGCCUGCCCGAGCUCUGGAACAGUCAAGGGACAGGCCACAUUGGCCCCGUGACAUCUUAUAGAUGUCACCUGUUCCUGCCAGUGCAGCCACGAUCAGCCCCACACACGGGAAGGCAGCAGAGCAGCCCGAGCCUGUGUUCCCGGCACUCUGUGGAGGCUGAGCUGGGCACACAUCUUCAGGUCACCCCUCUGCAGCCCGACUGGGGGAGAGCGAGGAGCCGGUGGCUGGGGGAGGGCCGCGCGCCUGUUCUGUCUCCAACUGCCUUUGUUCGAGAAUAAACACGCUGGGGCUGUCUCCCUACCUGAAAGCCACAUCUGCUGGAGAGAGAAAUCGUUGACAAUCUCUGCUUUAGAUGUACAGAAAGUCUGAAAUUGCUUGGCGACCAGGCAGGAGGGAGCCUGGGCGAGGCCGGGGGAUCCAGGCAGCAGCUGUAAAACCUUUUUCCUAAAACUGCCCUCAAGCAUGAUGAACAGGAGACAUUCGGAGCUGUUCCAGAGGCCAGGAGUCCCAACUCCAUCUCGCUGGGCGGAAGUCACGGUGCGGGCAGAGCUGGCGCCCUCUGCAGUCUCCGGGGGACAGUCCGUUUCCUUGCCUUUUCCACCUUCUGCGGGCCACCUGCACUCUUGGCUUGUGACCUCUUCCUCGCAUCACUCCAACCUCUUACUCCUACUGUCACCUGUCCUACUUCUGUGUCCAAUCU